rnacentral:rRNA from 1 species
GACGAACGCUGGCGGCGUGCUUAACACAUGCGAGUCGAACGGAAAGGCCCUGCUUUUGUGGGGUGCUCGAGUGGCGAACGGGUGAGUAACACGUGAGUAACCUGCCCUUGACUUUGGGAUAACUUCAGGAAACUGGGGCUAAUACCGGAUAGGAGCUCCUGCUGCAUGGUGGGGGUUGGAAAGUUUCGGCGGUUGGGGAUGGACUCGCGGCUUAUCAGCUUGUUGGUGGGGUAGUGGCUUACCAAGGCUUUGACGGGUAGCCGGCCUGAGAGGGUGACCGGCCACAUUGGGACUGAGAUACGGCCCAGACUCCUACGGGAGGCAGCAGUGGGGAAUAUUGCACAAUGGGCGGAAGCCUGAUGCAGCGACGCCGCGUGCGGGAUGACGGCCUUCGGGUUGUAAACCGCUUUCGCCUGUGACGAAGCGUGAGUGACGGUAAUGGGUAAAGAAGCACCGGCUAACUACGUG